CGAGUAGCUGGGUUUACAGGCGUGUGCCACCCACCUAGCUAAUUUUUGUAUUUUAGUUAGAGACGGGGGUUUUGCCAUGUUGGCCAGGCUGGUCUCGAACUCCUGACCUCAAGUGUUUCACCCGCCUCAGCCCCCCAAAGUGCUGGGAUUACAGGUGUGAGCAACCGCGCCUGGACUCAAGUUCUUUUUAAAGCUUGAUUAAGGUAUAACCGACAUAUAAUACACUUCGCAUAUUUGAACAGUACUUGAUACAGUUUGAUGUAUGUAUAUACCCUUGACAUAAUCAAAAUAGUGAACAUAUCUAUCAUCCCCAAAAGUUUCCCCUGCCCCUUUGUAAUCCUUCCCCAUCCUCUAUCCUGAGGCAACCAUUGAUCUGCUUUUAUUAUUUUUAAAAGUUAGCGUAUUUUCUUAUAUGUAUUGCAUAUGGGAUUUUUCUAGAAGGCCACGUGCAUAUGCACCCUCCCCUUCCAUUACCCCAGUAUCCGCCAUCAAGUAGUAACAUGUUGUAACAGAAAGAAUCCCAUUAAGUCCUAGUUCUGGUAGCCCGGUACAAAUUUUAGAUUUUCCCCCAAAAAUGAAAAAAAAUUAUUUAAAAAAUUUAGAUUUGAAAUGCUUAGAAAACAAUCAUUUAUUUUUUUAUGUCAAAAUGUCCAAGUAAAUUAAUGGAUUAAUUUCCAUGCUUCUGGUGAUGUAACACCACUUGGUGGUGGCGCUGAGGAAACCCUGGGAAGUGUUUUUCUCUUCUGUGUAAUGAAAGACUCACUGACAAAGCCGUCGGUAUCCAGAAUGACUGCUCUUGAAAUGAUAUUUUGAUGAUGAUGAUCAGGGAAGUAGCCUAUGCUGAUUUAUUUAUCAUCCCCCCACCCCAACCCCACUUUUGUGUCACAAACAUUUGAAACACCCAGUGCUCAAGAAUGCUGCUUUUCCAAUUCUGCUAAUAUCCUCUCUCCCCAUCUGGAAACAAAGUUACUAAACCUAGUUUUGAAAAAGCAAUGGAAAUGAAAGUGUCCAGUGAACUUACUGGCAGUUGUGCAAGUUGAAAGCUUAUUCCUUACAUCCUGAGCCUAAAAGCCUUAUUCCUUAUAUCCGGAGCCUAAAAGUUUGCUCAAAAGUAGAAAACUUUCCAGACAAGAUCACAUACAAAAUGGUUAACAUGAAAUGCUAAUGAAGAAACAAGGCAAGAAUGAAUACAAGAGAAAUGGAAUCUGGGGAAAAAAGUAGGUUCUCUAACUGGGGCAGGGAUCUUGCUUCUUGGGGGCAUAUGGUUGGAUCCCAGGUGGGCCACGAAAAUCAUCUUGGAUAUUUGUUUACAGGCUGAUUCCUGAGUUUCCCUCCAAAGAUUCUGAGUCCACAGAUCUAGGGUGUGGACCGAGAAUCCUCAUUGUAACAAGCACCCUCUGCCCCCGGGACAUUUUAAGGUAGAUGGAGAACUAAGGUGAGAGUGUGCCAGCUAAAUACUCUUUCCUUUGUCCCUGUGCCUCAGUCUUUUUUGUUUGUUUUUUUUCAUGUGACACUCAGUAGGAAAGUCUAGUUCAAGAACCGGAAACUGAGCCGGGCAUGGUGGUGCGCACCUGUAGUCCCAGCUACUCAGGAGGCUGAGGCAGGAGGAUGGCUUGAGCCUGACGCCCAUGCCGCUGUGAGCUAUGAUUGCACCACUGCCCUGAGCCUGGACGACAGAGCAAGUUCCUGUCUUAAAAAAAAAAGUAAUAAAAAAGACAUUUAAAAAAAAAUUAGAGCUCAGUGACCUGUGACUCACUUUGCCACUUUGUCAUUUUCUUGACUUCUGUCCCAACGCCAGCCCUGUAAUAUGGAGAUAAAGAGUGGGGAGGACAGAACUCUGAAACCUAAAAGGCAAGAUUUUUGCUAAACCGGAGAACGUAAAAAUACAUUCCUAGAGGCAAUCUAACCAGCCAGAUAACCAGAAGUUUACUCUUCAAAGCCAAGAAUCAGUACCCCCACCUCACCUUCCAUUCUCUCUUAGGCUUUGUCUAUGUCUCUAAGGGGAGUUUUUCAGUUGACUGAUGAGGUCCUGACUGGUAGGGAAAGCCUGCAGGGAAAUCCUGUGGCAAAGCACACUCUUGAUCACCUACUUAACAAGAAGGUCUAGCAGGACAUUCUUGAUCCAGGUCAGCUUCUUCCCUGAAAAUAAUACAUAUUUUUAAUUUCUGUUUGAAAAAACUCCACUGUGAAAUUACUCUGCUUAUAUUAGAAGGUAUGAAGACAGUAGUUAUGUACUGUUCGUUUGCAUACGGUCAUUUUGAGAUAGAAAAAUUAAAUUUUUUUAGGAAAAGAAUUUCAAGCAACUUUCUACGAAAAUACAGCUUGUGGUUAAAUUUCCUAAUGAAAGAGGAAUUAUUCACUGAAAAAUUUGUCUAAUCUGUGCCACCUCAAAAUAAGAAUUGUGCCUCUUCAAUGAAUGUUGUAUAUGAGAAUGUUACAUUUGUAACAGCACAGGAAACUCAAUAAAUUAUAAAUGAAUUACAUAAAGAGA
rnacentral:lncRNA from 1 species